CUUUCGAGGAACUUUUUAUUACUGCGCUGAUCGCCGCCUGGUCGUGGGAGGUGCUACACUAAUUCGCUGGGAUGUACAGACAUCUAAUAGAUCUAUUUGUUCACCUGUAAAGCAACUCCAUGGAAUGAAAAUGCACCAAAUUCCUGUACCCAAACCCCUGGCACCCAAGAUUUCCUCUGAAAGUGCAGGGAAUGAGGCAUUGAGAGCAACAGGAGUUCUACAUCUACAUCAUACUGGAAGUUGCCAUAAUGUUGAAUG